UACGGAGGGAGCUAGCGUUGUUCGGAUAUACUGGGCGUAAAGCGCACGUAGGCGGCGCCGUAAGUCAGGGGUGAAAUCCCGGAGCUCAACUCCGGAACUGCCCUCGAUACUGCAAAUCUCGAGUCCGAGAGAGGUGAGUGGAAUUCCUAGUGUAGAGGUGAAAUUCGUAGAUAUUAGGAAGAACACCAGUGGCGAAGGCGGCUCACUGGCUCGGUACUGACGCUGAGGCGCGAAAGCGUGGGGAGCAAACGGG
rnacentral:rRNA from 1 species